UCUCCGUUGGUGAACCAGCGGAGGGAUCAUUACAGAGUUGCUAAACUCCCAAACCAUUGUGAACGUUACCUCUCCCGUCGCUUCGGCGGGUGGCCCUGCCCGCGCGACCGGCGCCCCCCGGCUCCCUGCGGGCGCCCGCCGGAGGUAAUCUAAACCCUUGAAUUGCAUGGCCUCGCAGAAUCUUCUGUACUGAAUAAGUCAAAACUUUCAACAACGGAUCUCUUGGUUCUG
rnacentral:misc_RNA from 1 species